GAUGAACGCUAGCGGCAGGCCUAAUACAUGCAAGUCGGACGGGAUUGGGGAGCUUGCUCCCCAUGAGAGUGGCGCACGGGUGCGUAACACGUAUGUAACCUACCUUUGCCAGGGGGAUAGCCUCUCGAAAGAGAGAUUAACACCGCAUAACAUAUCAGGGUGGCAUCAUUCUGAUAUCAAAUAUUUAUAGGGCGAAGAUGGGCAUGCGGAGCAUUAGCUAGUUGGCGGGGUAACGGCCCACCAAGGCAAUGAUGCUUAGGGGAUCUGAGAGGAUGACCCCCCACACUGGUACUGAGACACGGACCAGACUCCUACGGGAGGCAGCAGUAAGGAAUAUUGGUCAAUGGGCGCAAGCCUGAACCAGCCAUGCCGCGUGCAGGAAGACGGCCCUACGGGUUGUAAACUGCUUUUGCGCCGGAAUAAACCCUCAUUCGUGAAUGAGGCUGAAUGUACGGCGAGAAUAAGGAUCGGCUAACUCCGUGCCAGCCGCCGCGGUAAAAC
rnacentral:rRNA from 1 species